rnacentral:sRNA from 1 species
CCUUAGCCCCGAUUGAAGUGGAAAUCCUUCCUGGCUGGGGUUCAGCCGGGAAGAUUGCAGCGUAAAGCGGGACCAAUU